CCCUAGUAACGGCGAGUGAAGCGGGAACAGCUCAAAUUUAAAAUCUCUUUUGAGAAUUGUAGUUUAUGAAAGCGUUUUCGAUGGAGGCCUGGGUAUAAGUUCUCUGGAACGAGGCAUCAUAGAGGGUGAGAAUCCCGUCUUUGAUCCAGCCACCUCCACACUACGAGGCGUCUUUUAAGAGUCGGGUUGUUUGGGAUUGCAGCCCUAAAUUGGUGGUAUAUUCCAUCUAAAGCUAAAUAUUGGCGAGAGACCGAUAGCAAACAAGUACCGUGAGGGAAAGAUGAAAAGAACUUUGAAAAGAGAGUUAAAAGUGCGUGAAAUUGCUAAAAGGGAAACGUUUGACGCCAGUGUUGAGUGUCGGAAAUCAGCCUUGGAAUUCUGGGGUGCACUUUUCGGCAUUNAGGUCAACAUCAGUUUUCUGCGUCGUAGAAAAGUCGGAUGAAGGUAGGUACUCCGGUACUGUUAUAGCUCCGACUGAUGCGGUGUGGGGGACUGAGGACAGCAGCACAUGCCUUUGGCUGGCUCCGCGGUUGCCGUGAAUUUNGAAGGNGAAGGCAGCAUGCUGACUUUUUCUUCUGAAGGCGCGCUCUUCCGCANGAGUACAAAUGUGCUUAGGAUGUUGACGAAAUGGUUUUAAAUGACCCGUCUUGAAACACGGACCAAGGAGUCUAACAUAUAUGCGAGUAUUUGGGUUGCAAGCCCAUAUGCGUAAUGAAAGUGAAUGUAGGUGUGAAGGGCGCAAGCCUGGCAACAUUGACCGAUCUGGAUUUUUAAUGAUAGAUUUGAGUAAGAGCAUGUAUGCUAGGACCCGAAAGAUGGUGAACUAUACCUGAUUAGGCUGAAGCCAGAGGAAACUCUGGUGGAGGGUCGUAGCGAUUCUGACGUGCAAAUCGAUCGUCAAAAUUGGGUAUAGGGGCGAAAGA
rnacentral:rRNA from 1 species